rnacentral:rRNA from 1 species
GAUGAACGCUGGCGGCGUGCCUAAUACAUGCAAGUCGAGCGGACUAAAGAGAGCUUGCUCUCUGAGGUUAGCGGCGGACGGGUGAGUAACACGUGGGUAACCUGCCUGUAAGACGGGGAUAACUUCGGGAAACCGAAGCUAAUACCGGAUGAUAAAGAGAAACGCCUGUUUCUUUUUUGAAAGUCGGCCUUGUGCUGACGCUUACAGAUGGGCCCGCGGCGCAUUAGCUAGGUGGUGAGGUAACGGCUCACCAAGGCGACGAUGGGUAGCCGACCUGAGAGGGUGAUCGGCCGCACGGGGACUGAGACACGGCCCAGACUCCUACGGGAGGCAGCAGUAGGGAAUCUUCGGCAAUGGACGAAAGUCUGACCGAGCAACGCCGCGUGAGCGAUGAAGGCCUUCGGGUCGUAAAGCUCUGUUGUCAGAGAAGAACAAGUACCGGAGUAACUGCCGGUACCUUGACGGUACCUGACCAGAAAGCCACGGCUAACUACGUGCCAGCCGCCGCGGUAAGAC